UUUGACCUCAAAUCAGGUAGGACUACCCGCUGAACUUAAGCAUAUCAAUAAGCCGGAGGA
rnacentral:rRNA from 1 species